GGCGGGCCGGUGAGGCGAGGGAGUGCGCGUGCGCACUGAGCUUGGUCGGGACUUCCGGUCUCCGCGCGUGCUAGGUUCGCUCUGGCCUGUGGAAAACCAGAUGGCACCCUGGGGCCACCACCUGCCUUCCUCCUUUCUUCAAGUGGGAGAAACGGACACCAAGCCGAGGAGGGUCAGGAUGUCAGGCUGCGGCUAAAACUGUACAGGACACACUGUGUAUUCCCCUUGAUGAACUGCAUUGUGAAGACCCCAGGUCUGCGAGGCACUUGGUGAUACAACCACUGAGAGCUGUUACUAAGCACACACCAAGGCUUUACUCUCAUUCUGUGACAGGAACUGUGUUCAGGAGGUCUCCAGGUCUGUGGUUUGGCUUCAUCACUGGAAUCUUGAGUAAAGAAGGCUUACAACUCUUCAGAUCUCCCAGAGAGGCAUGGGCUGGAGGACGGGGUGUGGACCUCACCCCGUCCUCUCAGGGUACAGCAUCUGGGCCAGAGUACUGAGGAUGGCCCAGCUGCAGGGAGAACCACACUGCAGAGAACAGGCGGAAACUUGGGCGACAGACGCUGCCUCUUAUGACCAAAGCACGGCUGGCCAGACACUGGGUCUCAGCCUUCCAUGGGUUACGUGGCUUCCCACGCCUCAGUCUCCCCAGCUGUCAAAAGGAAGCAAUAGCACCAUGCGCCAGGGACACAGUGAGCACAUGGCGGACACCAUCUGCUGCUGCUGCCACCCCUCACCAACUCAGGACACCUCUGCUAAACAGAAACUGUUGUUGUAGUAAAGCAGUAUAAAAUACACCUUUGCCCUUUUCUCCUUUUGCCGCCCAACUCAAAAUGUUUUCCUGAGCCCCAGUGGGAGGGCAAAGGUCACCCCUCACUCAGGCAACACAACCCACACCCACUGGCCUGAGUUCCCCUGCACUGGCACUGCCAGGCGCCAGCCCAACCAGGUCGGCAAGGCCACCUCAGGGGGGUCCAGGGCCGUCCAGAGCAGUGUCCACGGCUCCUCCCGGCUGGGGGGCUGUGGUUGUCUCCCAGCUGCUGCCAAGGCCCCACCAACCAAGCCUGCAUGUCCAGUGUGUCCAGGAGCACCCUAAGCCACCAGCAUCUUGUCCUGCUUGCCCAGCUCCAUUCAGCAUCCUGGCAGCUUGGCUGGUUUUUCCUGAAUGAUUUUUAUUUUUUCAGUAAUGCUGAUCUGUUAAGAGGACUUAAAAGAAUUGUAGCAGUCAAUUCUCUCCUCCCUUUCCUUCCCUCGGCUUUCUUUGGUUGUGUGGGUGAGUCAGGACAGGCAAAUUGUAACUGUAGGAAAUCUCAAGAAUUUUUUAUUUUAUUACUUCUAUCUUCCCGCCAAGUGCAACAGGAUGUGUCUCUGCACAGUGAGCUUGCUGUCUGUAAUAUAUGGUAACCAGUGAAUUUGCUGGGCCCAGAUGACUUGUGCUCUAUGUAACCAAUGCAAAGUGCUCAACUCCUGCAAGCCUGCCCCCUCCCAAGAGAUACCCUGCCGUGCUCCACCCCAAAGCGGGGUCGGUCUCUUUGGGCAGAAGUCCCAGACUGACCGGCUGGCGUUAAGAAUAAAACUGUACAUUUUACCUCCGAAACUUCUGGGUGCGACUCCACUGAGAUUUUAUGACCAUUAGAUGGCAGACCCAUGACAAU